GACUUUUAAUGGAUGACAACAGUUUCAUUAUCUUCCUCAAGGACAUUUUAGCAGUCUGGAGGAAGGGGUGGAAACCAUGGUCUUUUGUUUAUGCCACAGACAUUGUAACCACGGAGUCAAUCUGUCAUCCUUUCCCUGUCUUGUGUUUUGUUUCACGUACCUGGCCAGGUUUUCCGCUGUACAUACGCUCUCCUCUAUUAUAGCGUAACAAUAGCCCGGGGGCUAGAUUCCAGUUUCUGUUGUCCUGAUGGAGUGGACAGCAGCACAGCUUGUGUUUAUCAUUUCCAAUGCAGCCAGCCACUGAGCAGAUAUUAGCCUGGCCUUAUCAGCAGGAGCCACAAAGAGCUGAGGGUGAAGUGGAGCGGAUGCUGAGAGAACAGCUCCUCUGGGAAUCAACUAAUGAUUGUCCCCGCUGAUGGAGCCUGACGCUGGGCCUGAGGUGCCUCCACAACAACAUCUCUGUAGAGGACAGCAACCAUGGUGGAAGAACAUUGGUGGAUUGAAAAUGAAGCUGGCUUCAAGGUCUCCAAAUCAGAUUGGCUGGGAUAGAUCAGAGUUGCAGACAUGAAAGAUUUUUCAUGAUUAUUUAAGGUAGUUAUUUUCUUUUGGAUUGUUUAUCAGGUAAAGGCAUUGUAUAUGAUGCAAGAUAAAACUUUCAGUGAUGUUGGUUGCCAAUGUAAACACCAUUGCAUAUUGUAGUAUAGCAUCAGCACUGAUCACUGAUGUGAUUGCAAAGAGUAACAACAUUGUAUGCUUGUGUAGAAUAGAGCCAUACUAUUCAGCAACCCUCUGCUUAUUUCCAUGGCAAGGAACCCACCCAAUCUCACCUGAUCUUACUUACUCCUAAUCAAUGGUCUAUUUUAUAAGCUCCACCCAUUUCCUUUGUUCUGGCUGGCAGCAAUACAAACCACAUGUGAGGGCCCUCUGUCUCUGUCAUUCAGAUACACAUCUAUGGUUGUGCGUGAUAAAAAAACCAUAACCGUCAAGCCUCAUCAUCUCCUGUUGCUCAUGUGUGAAUAGUGGCAAUAAAUGGCUUAAACGGAA